rnacentral:rRNA from 1 species
UACGGAGGGUGCGAGCGUUGUCCGGAAUCAUUGGGCGUAAAGGGCGCGUAGGUGGCGGGACAAGCGUGCGGUGAAAGCCUGGGGCUCAACCCCGGGUCGGCCGUGCGAACUGUUUUGCUUGAGCACUGUAGAGGCAGGCGGAAUUCCUGGUGUAGCGGUGAAAUGCGCAGAUAUCAGGAGGAACACCAGUGGCGAAGGCGGGUCUCUGGGCAAUAACUGACGCUGAGGAGCGAAAGCGUGGGGAGCGAACAGG